GACAGAGGGUGCAAACGUUGCUCGGAAUUACUGGGCGUAAAGCGCGUGUAGGCGGGCUAGUAAGUCGGACGUGAAAUCCCUGAGCUCAACUCAGGAACUGCAUCCGAAACUAUUAGCCUUGAGUAGUGGAGAGGGAAGCAGAAUUCCUGGUGUAGAGGUGAAAUUCGUAGAUAUCAGGAGGAACACCGGUGGCGAAGGCGGCUUCCUGGACACUAACUGACGCUGAGACGCGAAAGCGUGGGGAGCGAACAGG
rnacentral:rRNA from 1 species